rnacentral:rRNA from 1 species
UACGUAGGGGGCAAGCGUUGUCCGGAAUCAUUGGGCGUAAAGAGCGUGUAGGCGGCCCGAUAAGUCCGCUGUGAAAGUCCAGGCUCAACCCUGGAAUGCCGGUGGAUACUGUCGGGCUCGAGUCCGGAAGAGGCGAGUGGAAUUCCUGGUGUAGCGGUGAAAUGCGCAGAUAUCAGGAGGAACACCUAUGGCGAAGGCAGCUCUCUGGGACGGUACUGACGCUGAGACGCGAAAGCGUGGGGAGCGAACAGG